ACGGAGGGUGCAAGCGUUAUCCGGAAUCAUUGGGUUUAAAGGGUCCGCAGGCGGACAUAUAAGUCAGUGGUGAAAUCCCAUCGCUUAACGAUGGAACUGCCAUUGAUACUGUAUGUCUUGAAUGGGGUCGAAGUGGGCGGAAUAUGUCAUGUAGCGGUGAAAUGCUUAGAUAUGACAUAGAACACCGAUAGCGAAGGCAGCUCACUAGGCCUUUAUUGACGCUCAUGGACGAAAGCGUGGGGAGCAAACAGG
rnacentral:rRNA from 1 species